AUCACUCUCAGCUGUCCACAUCACUCCCUUGAAGAACAUUCUGACACUGCUCAGACCUUUCACCCUGACAGAAGGCCUCGCUACCACUCACUUGUCACCACCUGUAAUCUGAUUCCCUUUUCUUUUUAUAAGCCGCAGAGCUCUUUUCAAUGACUAGAAGGGCAAAUAGAAGUCACCUCAUAUUUCAGUUGUAUUAGUACAGUUGCUAUAUUUGGCCAAUGACUGUAGCCACACAUAGAGUGCGAUUGCACAAAUUUAUGAUUAUAAGAUCCUUCUGUUUAAUUCUUAUUGUGAUGUUAACCCGUGUCAAGAAGCCAACAUAAUCUAAUGUAGAAACUAAACGUUUACAAAAUAUCUUUCACGCCUUUUCAUUGUUGUCCAAAACCAUCAGACAAAAUUCACAUAUUAUUUAUGGGUUAAGUAAACAAUAUCGUAUCCUCAUUUUUAUUCUCAACUAACAUGGUCGAGGUAAUGCUUCGGGGUGAGUGACACCUAUCUAGGAUAGCAGCGGAGAAGUGAGCGGUGUGAAGAUUCAGUCUAAGGGACACUGAUGCCUUAAUUAGCAUCCCCUCUCUCUCACUCCUCCCUCUGACUCCUGCUGGCACCCACAGGCCCUGCCUCCUACAGUAAGAACAGCCUCCUGAAGGCGACCUGUUCUGAGGGACAGACCUCAGCUUGGCAGCAUUACUUCUGGAGGGACUGAGAGAUAUUGAAUUGAUUUCGAAAUAAAACUACUGCCAGAAGAAAUAAACAUUUCAAGAAUUUGUGGUGGGCGUUUGUACACGUGCCAUUUGUAAAUUGCGUACGGCCCCGUGCAUUAUGUGGCAUUAGCCUAAUAAAAGUCAUGUUUACCUUUA